GGUUUGAUUAAACGGCUCAGAUUGAACGCUGGCGGGAUGCUUUACACAUGCAAGUCGAACGGCAGCAUGGACUUCGGUCUGGUGGCGAGUGGCGAACGGGUGAGUAAUGUAUCGGAACGUGCCUAGUAGCGGGGGGAUAACUACGCGAAAGCGUAGCUAAUACCGCAUAAUAGCCCUUCGGGGGAAAGCGGGGACUUCGGGCCUCGCACUAUUGGAGCGGCCGAUAUCGGAUUAGCUAGUUGGUGGGGUAACGGCUCACCACAGCGACGAUCCGUAGCUGGUUUGAGAGGACGACCAGCCACACCUGGGACUGAGAUUAUCGGCCCAGACUUACGGAGGCAGCAGUGGGGAAUUUUGGACAAUGGGGAAACCCCGAUCCAGCCAUCCAAGCGUGUGCGAUGAAGGCCUUCGGGUUGUAAAGCACUUUGGCAGGAAAGAAACGUCGUGGGUUAAUAAUCAUGAAACUGACGGUACUCUGCAGAAUAAGCACCGGCUAACUACGUGCCAGCAGCUGCGGUAAUAUGUAGGGUGGAAGCGCGUUAAUCGGAAUUACUGGGCGAAGCGUGCAGGGCGGUCUGGAAAGAAAGAUGUGAAAUCCCAGAGCUUAACUUUGGAACUGCAUUUUUAACUACCGGGCUAGAGUGUGUCAGAGUGGAGGUGGAAUUCGCGGCGGUAGCAGCAAAUGCGUAGAUAUGCGGAGGAACACCGAUGGCGAAGGCAGCCUCCUGUGAUAACACUGACGCUCAUGCACGAAAGCGUGGGAGCAACAGAUUAGAUACCCUGGUAGUCCACGCCUAAACGAUGUCAACUAGCUGUUGGGCCUUCAAAUCGGUAGCGCAGCGUGAAGUUGACCGCCUGGGGAGUAUGGUCGCAAGAUUAAAACUCAAAGGAAUUGACGGGGACCCGUACAAGGUGGAUGAUGUGGAUUAAUUCGAUGCAACGCGAAAACCUUACCUACCCUUGACAUGUCUGGAAUGCCGAAGAGAUUUGGCAGUGCUCGCAAGAGAACCGAAGACAGGUGCUGCAUGGCUGUCGUCAGCUCGUGUCGUGAGAUGUUGGGUUAAGUCCCGCAACGAGCGCAACCCUUGUCAUUAGUUGCUGUUGAAAGGGCACUCUAAUGAGACUGCCGGUGACAAACCGGAGGAAGGUGGGGAUGACGUCAAGUCCUCAUGGCCCUUAUGGGUAGGGCUUCACACACGUCAUACAAUGGUCGGGACAGAGGGUCGCCAACCCAAGAGGGGGAGCCAAUCCCAGAAACCCGAUCGGGGUCCGGAUCGCAGUCUGCAACUCUGACUGCGUGAAGUCGGAAUCGCUAGUAAUCGCGGGGAUCAGCAUGUCGCGGGUGAAUACGUUCCCGGGUCUUGUACACACCGCCCGUCACACCAUGGGAGUGGGUUUUACCAGAAGUAGUUAGCCUAACCGCAAGGAUUACUGCGGUAGGAUUCAUGACUGUGGUGUGAAGUCGUAACAAGGUAA
rnacentral:rRNA from 1 species